rnacentral:misc_RNA from 1 species
GAAUAACUGACCAUGCACAGGAUCACUUGGGUGAUGUUGUUUAUGUUGAACUGCCUGAAGUUGGAGCUACAGUUUCACAAGGAAAGAAUUUUGGUGCAGUUGAGAGUGUGAAGGCAACCAGUGACAUCAACUCCCCUGUGUCAGGAGAAAUAGUUGAAGUCAACUCUGAACUUACGGGAUCUCCAGGUUUGGUUAACGCUAGCCCGUACGAGAAAGGUUGGAUUAUCAAAGUCAAGGUGGGCGAUACUGGCGAGCUGGAUUCUUUGAUGGAUUCGGACAAGU